rnacentral:rRNA from 1 species
GACGAACGCUGGCGGCGUGCCUAAUACAUGCAAGUUGAGCGCUGAAGGUUGGUACUUGUACCAACUGGAUGAGCAGCGAACGGGUGAGUAACGCGUGGGGAAUCUGCCUUUGAGCGGGGGACAACAUUUGGAAACGAAUGCUAAUACCGCAUAAGAACUUUAAACACAAGUUUUAAGUUUGAAAGAUGCAAUUGCAUCACUCAAAGAUGAUCCCGCGUUGUAUUAGCUAGUUGGUGAGGUAAAGGCUCACCAAGGCGAUGAUACAUAGCCGACCUGAGAGGGUGAUCGGCCACAUUGGGACUGAGACACGGCCCAAACUCCUACGGGAGGCAGCAGUAGGGAAUCUUCGGCAAUAGACGAAAGUCUGACCGAGCAACGCCGCGUGAGUGAAGAAGGUUUUCGGAUCGUAAAACUCUGUUGGUAGAGAAGAACGUUGGUGAGAGUGGAAAGCUCAUCAAGUGACGGUAACUACCCAGAAAGGGACGGCUAACUACGUG